AGUGAACGCUGGCGGUAGGCCUAACACAUGCAAGUCGAACGGCAGCACAGUAAGAGCUUGCUUCUACGGGUGGCGAGUGGCGGACGGGUGAGGAAUACAUCGGAAUCUACUUUUUCGUGGGGGAUAACGUAGGGAAACUUACGCUAAUACCGCAUAUGACCUACGGGUGAAAGCAGGGGAUCUUCGGACCUUGCGCGACUGAAUGAGCCGAUGUCGGAUUAGCUAGUUGGCGGGGUAAAGGCCCACCAAGGCGACGAUACGUAGCUGGUCUGAGAGGAUGAUCGGCCACACUGGAACUGAGACACGGUCCAGACUCCUACGGGAGGCAGCAGUGGGGAAUAUUGGACAAUGGGCGCAAGCCUGAUCCAGCCAUACCGCGUGAGUGAAGAAGGCCUUCGGGUUGUAAAGCCCUUUUGUUGGGAAAGAAAAGCAGCAGGUUAAUACCCCGCUGUUCUGACGGUACCCAAAGAAUAAGCACCGGCUAACUUCGUG
rnacentral:rRNA from 1 species